rnacentral:lncRNA from 1 species
AUAAGAUUGCAUUUAUUCAGUUAAAUUAUUUUAGAAUUACAUAAUUGAGGUGUUUGGUUUAGAUUGAUUUGUAGCUUAUUCUUUUGAAAGAAUUCAGGGAUAAAUAUCAAUCUUGAAGAAUUGAUUUUAUUGGAGAUUAUAAAGUAUUCAUCUCGGUGAAAUUAUUAAUAAUUUAAAUUAUCACCUUUAGAUUCAAAUAAUAGAUCUUGUUCAUGUUUAUUGAAAAUUAUGUAAUGUAUAUGAAACUUCAAUUCAAAGUUUGGAUUUAUAAGCCGAUCUAGGGUCUUUUGUCAAUAUUGUUGCGGUUGCUGAUAAAUUUGAAUUUUAGAGGCUUACAUGAUUAUGAUGGAAGAUUUUUAAUAAAUGCCAUAGAUCUCGAUGAAGAAAACUCUAGAAGAGAUCGCCGAGUCAAUUUACUUAUAUCUAUUGAUUUAAGGUCUUCUAAGUUAUUUUUACUUGUAAGAGUUUGACUUGAAAUCGUCGAGUUGAGUAGAUGAGAGAAUUAAGAUUUAAUUUAUUUUGAAUUAUAGUAACUAGCCUAUAUGGUGUUUUUGAACGUAUCAAUUGACUCGAGGAUCAGUCUAGAUGGAUGUACUCGGGGGAAGUUAGAGGACGAAACCAAAAGUUCUUGUCGUUGAUUCUAUGAAUAAUCUGGAGGUAGCUAUGUAAUUUUCACCAAUGGAUUUUUCUAUUGUUGACAGUUCUUGGGAGAAUCUUGUGCAACCUAAAUUUAGAGUUAACAGAUUGAUGGUUCCUUGUUGGGCUUAGACCUACAAUGCUUUAACAUUGGUUCCCUACUCCUAGUUAUGACAUCAUCAAUCUAUCUGUUCGAAAGGGUUUGAGGUUUUUUUUAAGGAUAAAGGUUGAUCAUUAAAUCAUAGGCAAAGUUAAGAGAAGAAAAAAAAAAGAUUAUAGAUUAUGAAAAGUAUUUGAUGCUAAUGCUCUGACUUAUUUGUAUUAAGCCGAUUAUAAUUUUUGUGUGGAAUUAAUCAUGAACAAUUAAUUUCAAGAUGGGGAUUGUUUAGAAGCUCGGGAAUGACAUGAUGUUUCCAUACUUUCCAAAAUUUGAAGCCUUAAGUGAGUUAAUUUCGAGGAUGAAAUUAUUUUAAGGAAGGAAGAAUGUGAAACCCAAGCUUUGAAUCGAACUGGGCCUGGUCCACUUGACCGGCCCAACCACCAGUUUUGGCCUCACGUGCGUCGCACGUGAGGGCACACAGUGAGGCCGAAGAAGUCGGGAUCCCCAAUUUUAGGGCGUCCUCCUCCUCCCCUUUGAGACCACCCGAUGUAGAGCCGCCACGCCCGAGUCUCGUUCUUCCUCCUCGAGCUGCCGGCCGAGAGAGAGAGAGAGAGAGCCAAAAAAAAAAGAAAGAAGAAGAGAGGGAAGAAGAAGAAGGCUAACCGUCGCGGGCUCUUCUUCAUAUCCCGUGCGCAUGCCUCCUCCGCGGGAAGAAUGAGAAAGCCGGCCGCCGCGGGCACCGCCGGCCUCGACUUGGCCUCUUCCGAGCUCGCCGACCUCCUUUCGCGGGAGAAGAAAGAAAAAGAAAAAGAAAAAAAAGAGGAGGAGGAGAAAAAGUCGGGAGAAGAGAAGAGGAGGAGGAAAAAAAAAGAAUAGGGGGGAAGGAAUAGUGGAGCCGGGAGAAGGUUUUGGAGAAGAAGAGUAGAAAAAAAAGAAAAGAAGGAAAAAAAAGAGGAGAGGAGGAGAAAGAAAAAGAAAGAAGAAAGAAAGGGGGGAAGGAAUAGUGGAGCCGGAAGAAGGUUCUGGAGGAGAAGAGUAGAAAAGAAAAAAAAAGAAAAGAAGAAAAAAGAAAAAAAAGAAAAGAAGGAAAAAGAAAAAGAAAAAAAAGAAAAAGAAUAAAGAGAAGGUGUGGUUUACGGGUAUGAACCUAAACUCGAGGUGCUAGGCACUUCUGUAGGAUCAGCCAUGGGAGGAUAUUAAAAUUUAAGUUUUUGUAUACGUAUAUUAUGAUGAAUUUUAAAAGACGAAUAUGAUUUUUGAAUAUUAGGUUCUGCGAGGGAUUUGCGGAAUUAAUUGGAUUUGUUGUGGAUCGCGUUCGCAAGGUAAGUGAUGUAACCUCUUUCCUAGAUUUAUCAACAAACUAUAUACAUGUUUUACGAAUAGAAUUAUUCGUGAUUUCGAAUUUAAUGCAUGGAUUUUAUGUAUAUUUUUAGAAUAUUAUAUGACUCUGAUUGAACAUAUUUGCUUCUGAUUUGAAUUGUAUUUAAUUGCUCUAACAUUUUGCCUUUCGGCUUGGAACACUGAAUAUAAUAUAAGAAAAGAUAAUGACUUGAAAUAGAUUUUAGACUUGUAGUCGGGCUAUGCUAAGGACCCUGCCAAUGGGGCUAAUACAUUGGUACCGCAAGAAGAAUAGUCGGUGAUAUGACCCUGACAGGAAAUAUGUGGUCAUAGUUACUGACUGUUGAGUUGAAUCUGAUAAAUUGAAAAAAAUUAAAAUAUAAAUAAUAUUUGGUUUUGACACUGCAUGUUUUCAUGACUGAAAUAUGAAAUAGAGAACUAAUUGAACUUCGACUUGGCUAUGUUGAGAAUCCCGCCAAUGGGGGCAGAUACGUUGGCAAUUGACUGUCUUGAAGGACUCACCGCAAGAAGAUUAGUCGGUGUUGAUGACCCUACCACAGGAAACAUGUGGUCAUAGUCCAGGAUCGACAGGAUGAAUUGAACAUAUGAAAAGAAUCUUAAGAAUUUAAGAAAUAUUUAACUUGUACCCUAGAACUGCAUAUAUAUAUUUAUUUUCUACAUAUUAUUGCUUGAUUUAUCUAGCUAGAAUGUUUAUUACUUACUGGGCUAUUUAGCUCAUUAUACAAUUUCUUGUUUUGCAGAUUUCGAGAACUAGUCUUUGGAGUUCCAAAAUGGAAGAGCGACUAGAAGGAUUGUGGCACAAGUUAUCUUAGAUUAGAGUUAUUUAAGUUGAUUUGUUAUCUUGGACAUUUAUUAUGAUUGCUGGACUUUUGUUAUUUUAAGAACUAGAUUUCUGCAUGUUGGUAAAUUAUUAUUCCGCUACAUAUUUAGAAUUGUGAGACCUUAUGACUUGAGUUAGUCAAUGAAAUAAGAUUACAUUUAUUCAGUUAAAUUAUUUUAGAAUUACAUAAUUAAGGUGUUUGAUUUAGAUGCCUUGAAUACUCGUGGAAAGAGUUUCCUAUAGGUGUGCGGCAGUUGGCGCAACCCCCGGCUCGCGAUCUCGGGCUGAUAGAUUUGUUCCAUUGUGGGACUCCGAAAAGGAGUCAAAAAUGAAGGCAACCCCUCUUCACAGCGCCCACAGCGCACUCACAUCAUUUUCCUUUUUUUUUUUUUCAAUUCUCAUUUCAUGGUUUGGGCCAAGGUGGACUUGGGCUUCACCGGAUCUUUGUUGUUCCUAUUUUGAUCACCAUUGGGCUGGUCAAAUGGACCGGCUCGUUUUGGGCGGGGUAUUACAAAUGGUCAACAAACUUGUUAGCUCAUUUCUUACAGGACCUUGAUCCAACCAUAUCUUGUUUGUUAAUUAGGCAAUAAUCACAAUCAGAUCUGAUCUCCCCAGAUAUAGGUUUGGGUCACAACAAGGACGGCAAUGCAAUCUCCUAAUUUAUACUUCAUUGAUUUUAGUUCCACUCCUUCCCCCAGCUAUUUUUUCCUACAACCCCAAGAGAGACAUUGGAAAUAUCAGCCAAAAACAAGAGCAACGUAAUUUACAGCAAAACCAACCCAUUAUACAACGAUUAGUGACAUCCCAAGUAAUUAUCAAAAAAAAAAAAACACAAACAAAAAGCUGUAGAUUAUACCAGAUCGAGUGCCUGAUAUUAAUUACCAAGCCUUUGGCCAAAAUCUUUGAGCUGUAGGUAUCUCCAAGACCUGCAGAGUGUUAUUCAGUCAAGUAAUUAACACAAGAAAGUGACAUGGUAACCACUAAAAUGCAGUUCGAUUUCCUACAUUUCUCCAAGAACAGAAAAGCUAAGCUGCGCCCUAAAUUGUCUUACUGCAUUUUCUUGGUGCUAUAUUUUUGCAAGAAAUAUAGUAUGAGAAUUGUUUAAGUGCCCAGUCAUCGUUUUGGAUGUCUUAAAAGUAUUUAUGUUGCUAGUUUACAUAUUAAAAAAGAAACAAUUGAAAUGAAUCCAUAUGUACCUAAGUACCUUGAUUUUGGUCUUAGAUUCCUCCUCUUGGGCAUGAAUCCAAUGAUAAAAGACCAUUACACACCAAUAACACCUAAUAUGGAUUUUUCAAGUGCUUUAAGUGCCCAGUCAAAUUAAACACCUAAUACAAACUAGGACUUCUCAAGAAAUGAAAAAAGGGUGGACUAGAUUGAUUUUCUUGCUCAAGAUCCCCAGUAAGAAAUCGUUUCUUGCCUUUGGCAGCCAUCUGCCUCCCUCUUCUUGUUCCUGUCUGCACAUAGUGGGCAACAAGCUUCUAAAUCAUCUAAAAAUAGGAUCACAAGCAAUAACGCCCAGGAUCACUUGGGUUUCACAUGGGUCAGGGUUGAGACAAGGAGCCCAACGAACCUGAGUUGCCUUGAACCGCCUGGUUUGGGGUUGGCUUAGGUGGUAUACCCCCAGUUCACCAUAAAUCAAGGCAUAUCAGGCCUCCAUGCAUUGGUUCUUGGUCAAUAUGGUACAGUUUGAAAUCUUAAGCUCAGCUACAAAAAUAAAUUCAAAAUUCUCAAAUGCAUCUUUCUAUAUCAUUGAAGGAUCCAUGUCAAAAAACCACCUUAGGAAAUUAAUGUAAGAUAUACCUAAUGUGGUUUUAACAAUAAAGAGGGGAGGGGAAGGGAAGGGCGAGGGAUAUGCAAUCCUCUUUAUGGAUAAAGAAAAACAUACAGAAUUAGGGAAAAAAUCGACAUCCUGAUCUUGAUCAUCAUCAGUAAUUUAUUACAAAAACCAUAUUUUAAACAUUGAAAGAGCCUUCUAGAAUAAAGGAAAACCAAAAGUAAUAUCUCAUGGAUAGAUAUAAAAUUAAAACUGAACAGUUCAUUGAUUUUCUUUUGCCAAUAUAUCUCUAUUAAGACGGAAAUAGCCCUAGAUGGGGAAAAAUCUUCCC